rnacentral:rRNA from 1 species
UACAGAGGUCCCAAGCGUUGUUCGGAUUCAUUGGGCGUAAAGGGUGCGUAGCUGCGCCAUAAGUCGGAUGUGAAAUCUCGGGGCUCAACCCUGAAACUGCAUUCGAUACUGUGGUGCUAGAGGACUCUAGAGGAAACUGGAAUUCACGGUGUAGCAGUGAAAUGCGUAGAUAUCUGGAGGAACACCGGUGGCGAAGGCGGCAUCCUGGACCAAUUACUGACGCUGAGUGAGCGAAAGCCAGGGGAGCAAAGCGGG